AACGCAACUGGCGCCGGUUCACCGGCAUGCCUGUUUCAGUGUGCUAGGAGAGUAAACCAUCAUUAUAAAAUAUAAUGCGAUUGAGGUACAUUUAUGUUCUUCUUUCGUUAAAUAUGAAGGUGUGAAAGAUGAGUAAUCUCUUACACUGGAAAACGAAGUAGUCAUGCUUGUUCAUGAUCUCGUUUAACCAGUUAUAAAGGUUAUUGCUUAGCUAUAAAUCACAUCUAAUCAAUUAAAUAUCUCCAAAAUUGGCAUCUGAAAUCAGACAAGGAUACCCGCUGAACUUAA
rnacentral:misc_RNA from 1 species